rnacentral:rRNA from 1 species
UACGGAGGGUGCGAGCGUUGUCCGGAAUCAUUGGGCGUAAAGGGCGCGUAGGCGGCUUGGCAAGUGGAUGGUGAAAUCCCUCGGCUUAACCGAGGAACUGCCAUCCAGACUGCUUUGCUUGAGGCCGGGGAGAGGUGAGUGGAAUUCCCAGUGUAGCGGUGAAAUGCGUAGAUAUUGGGAGGAACACCAAUGGCGAAGGCAGCUCGCUGGGACGGUACUGACGCUGAGACGCGAAAGCGUGGGGAGCAAACAGG